AUUGAACGCUGGCGGCAGGCUUAACACAUGCAAGUCGAGCGGAGCGAGGGUGCUUGCACCUUAGCUUAGCGGCGGACGGGUGAGUAAUGCUUAGGAAUCUGCCUAUUAGUGGGGGACAACAUUCCGAAAGGGAUGCUAAUACCGCAUACGCCCUACGGGGGAAAGCAGGGGAUCUUCGGAACUUGCGCUAAUAGAUGAGCCUAAGUCGGAUUAGCUAGUUGGUGGGGUAAAGGCCUACCAAGGCGACGAUCUGUAGCGGGUCUGAGAGGAUGAUCCGCCACACUGGGACUGAGACACGGCCCAGACUCCUACGGGAGGCAGCAGUGGGGAAUAUUGGACAAUGGGCGGAAGCCUGAUCCAGCCAUGCCGCGUGUGUGAAGAAGGCCUUUUGGUUGUAAAGCACUUUAAGCGAGGAGGAGGCUACUUAGAUUAAUACUCUGGGAUAGUGGACGUUACUCGCAGAAUAAGCACCGGCUAACUCUGUGCCAGCAGCCGCGGUAACAC
rnacentral:rRNA from 1 species